rnacentral:rRNA from 1 species
UACGAAGGGGGCUAGCGUUGCUCGGAAUCACUGGGCGUAAAGCGCACGUAGGCGGAUCUUUAAGUCAGGGGUGAAAUCCUGGAGCUCAACUCCAGAACUGCCUUUGAUACUGGGGAUCUCGAGUCCGGAAGAGGUGAGUGGAACUCCGAGUGUAGAGGUGAAAUUCGUAGAUAUUCGGAAGAACACCAGUGGCGAAGGCGGCUCACUGGUCCGGUACUGGAACGCUGAGGUGCGAAAGCGUGGGGAGCAAACAGGG